UUAUGAACGUGGGAUGGUGAACUCGCUGUCCUCUCCCGUUUCUUCAAAGUUAUUCGACUCUAUGAAACGCUUUUACAUCCUUUCAUUAUGAGAUUUGUGUUGAGCGGCUCUUUUGCAAAGUUGCAAAGAGUUUUCCUGAACGAUUCCAGGAAGAAUUCGCUGGUAAAGCGAGAGAAACUGCUUGACUCAAAAGCCGGCCACGGCAGUCAGAGCAAAGGCGAUUGAUGCCCCUCUACAUCAGUCGAACGACUAAUUGCAACUCAUACCUAGGACGUCCACCCUUUACUCUAUCACGCAGUACCUCAAAUACAAGGGCCAACUAAGAGCUACUCUUCCAUAUGAAUACAACCAAGAACCGCAACAUAUUCUGCCACAGGAUAGUGAAAGUUGACAAACUGAGUCGUUUGUAUGAUCAUGAAAAUAUAAUAUUGUUUAAAAAUA